rnacentral:rRNA from 1 species
CAAAAACAUCGCCUUUCGAUUUACAUGAAAGGUCCAGCCUGCCCGGUGACAAAGUUUAACGGCCGCGGUAACUUGACCGCGCGAAGGUAGCAUAAUCACUUGUUCUUUAAAUAGGGACUAGUAUCAACGGCAUCACGAGGGUUGCACUGUCUCCUCCCUCCAAUCAGUGAAACUGAUCUCCCCGUGAAAAAGCAGGGAUUAAUAUAUAAGACGAGAAGACCCCAUGGAGCUUUAAACCCACAGCAACUCAAUAAAUUAAUCCAUUAUAGCCUAUAGAGUAAUGCACACCGGUUUUAGGUUGGGGUGACCGCGGAGUAAAAACUAACCUCCACGACGAAAAGAACAAAAAUCUUUAUCUAAGAAAAACGAUUCUAAGAAUUAGUACACUAACGAACAAUGACCCAAUAUUUGAUCAACGAAACAAGUUACCCUGGGGAUAACAGCGCAAUCUACUUCAAGAGCCCAUAUCGACAAGUAGGCUUACGACCUCGAUGUUGGAUCAGGGUAUCCUAGUGGUGCAGCCGCUACUGAAGGUUCGUUUGUUCAACGAUUAAAACCCUACGUGAUCU